AAGACCAGGACGUUGAUAGGCUGGGUGUGUAAGCGUUGUGAGGCGUUGAGCUAACCAGUACUAAUUGCUCGUGAGGCUUGACCAUAUAACACCAAAGCGGU
rnacentral:rRNA from 1 species